rnacentral:rRNA from 1 species
UGGGGAAUAUUGGACAAUGGGCGAAAGCCUGAUCCAGCCAUGCCGCGUGUGUGAAGAAGGCCUUUUGGUGUAAAGCACUUUAAGUGGGGAGGAAAAGCUUGUGGUUAAUACCCAUAAGCCCUGACGUUACCCACAGAAUAAGCACCGGCUAACUCUGUGCCAGCAGCCGCGGUAAUACAGAGGGUGCAAGCGUUAAUCGGAAUUACUGGGCGUAAAGCGCGCGUAGGUGGUUAUUUAAGUCAGAUGUGAAAGCCCCGGGCUUAACCUGGGAACUGCAUCUGAUACUGGAUAACUAGAGUAGGUGAGAGGGGAGUAGAAUUCCAGGUGUAGCGGUGAAAUGCGUAGAGAUCUGGAGGAAUACCGAUGGCGAAGGCAGCUCCCUGGCAUCAUACUGACACUGAGGUGCGAAAGCGUGGGUAGCAAACAGGAUUAGAUACCCUGGUAGUCCACGCCGUAAACGAUGUCUACCAGUCGUUGGGUCUUUUAAAGACUUAGUGACGCAGUUAACGCAAUAAGUAGACCGCCUGGGGAGUACGGCCGCAAAGUUA